rnacentral:rRNA from 2 species
GCAGUCGAGCGAACUGAUUAGAAGCUUGCUUCUAUGACGUUAGCGGCGGACGGGUGAGUAACACGUGGGCAACCUGCCUGUAAGACUGGGAUAACUUCGGGAAACCGAAGCUAAUACCGGAUAGGAUCUUCUCCUUCAUGGGAGAUGAUUGAAAGAUGGUUUCGGCUAUCACUUACAGAUGGGCCCGCGGUGCAUUAGCUAGUUGGUGAGGUAACGGCUCACCAAGGCAACGAUGCAUAGCCGACCUGAGAGGGUGAUCGGCCACACUGGGACUGAGACACGGCCCAGACUCCUACGGGAGGCAGCAGUAGGGAAUCUUCCGCAAUGGACGAAAGUCUGACGGAGCAACGCCGCGUGAGUGAUGAAGGCUUUCGGGUCGUAAAACUCUGUUGUUAGGGAAGAACAAGUACGAGAGUAACUGCUCGUACCUUGACGGUACCUAACCAGAAAGCCACGGCUAACUACGUGCCAGCAGCCGCGGUAAUACGUAGGUGGCAAGCGUUAUCCGGAAUUAUUGGGCGUAAAGCGCGCGCAGGCGGUUUCUUAAGUCUGAUGUGAAAGCCCACGGCUCAACCGUGGAGGGUCAUUGGAAACUGGGGAACUUGAGUGCAGAAGAGAAAAGCGGAAUUCCACGUGUAGCGGUGAAAUGCGUAGAGAUG